UAGGGAAUCUUCGGCAAUGGGGGCAACCCUGACCGAGCAACGCCGCGUGAGUGAAGAAGGUUUUCGGAUCGUAAAGCUCUGUUGUAAGAGAAGAACGAGUGUGAGAGUGGAAAGUUCACACUGUGACGGUAACUUACCAGAAAGGGACGGCUAACUACGUGCCAGCAGCCGCGGUAAUACGUAGGUCCCGAGCGUUAUCCGGAUUUAUUGGGCGUAAAGCGAGCGCAGGCGGUUAGAUAAGUCUGAAGUUAAAGGCUGUGGCUUAACCGUAGUACGCUUUGGAAACUGUUUAANUUGAGUGCAGAAGGGGAGAGUGGAAUUCCAUGUGUAGCGGUGAAAUGCGUAGAUAUAUGGAGGAACACCGGUGGCGAAAGCGGCUCUCUGGUCUGUAACUGACGCUGAGGCUCGAAAGCGNGNNNNNCAAACAGGAUUAGAUACCCUGGUAGUCCACGCCGUAACGAUGAGUGCUAGGUGUUGGGUCCUUUCCGGGACUCAGUGCCGCAGCUAACGCAUUAAGCACUCCGCCUGGGGAGUACGACCGCAAGGUU
rnacentral:rRNA from 1 species